rnacentral:rRNA from 1 species
AUUGAACGCUGGCGGCAGGCCUAACACAUGCAAGUCGAGCGGAUGAAGGGAGCUUGCUCCUGGAUUCAGCGGCGGACGGGUGAGUAAUGCCUAGGAAUCUGCCUGGUAGUGGGGGAUAACGUCCGGAAACGGGCGCUAAUACCGCAUACGUCCUGAGGGAGAAAGUGGGGGAUCUUCGGACCUCACGCUAUCAGAUGAGCCUAGGUCGGAUUAGCUAGUUGGUGGGGUAAGGGCCUACCAAGGCGACGAUCCGUAACUGGUCUGAGAGGAUGAUCAGUCACACUGGAACUGAGACACGGUCCAGACUCCUACGGGAGGCAGUAGUGGGGAAUAUUGGACAAUGGGCGAAAGCCUGAUCCAGCCAUGCCGCGUGUGUGAAGAAGGUCUUCGGAUUGUAAAGCACUUUAAGUUGGGAGGAAGGGCAGUAAGUUAAUACCUUGCUGUUUUGACGUUACCAACAGAAUAAGCACCGGCUAACUUCGUG